CAUGACAAAAACAUACUAAAUAUUAUUAAUCGGCUAGCAAAGAGAAGUUAAACAUACGACAUGAACUGAAUUAACUAGUGCGCACGACUAGUUAAAAGAAACAAACUUCCUUUGACAAUAAAUUUUUAAUUAAAUCAUGGCUGCGCCUGGGCUGUGUUAUUGUGAGAGUGAAAGUGGACAUGCUGCUACUCCCCUCAUUCCCAACAUGUAUCAAGUACCUGCAUUGAGUAAUGCAAGAGUGAGAUGACACAUCUCAGCAAGUAAAAUAAUAUCAAACUGUUUAACCACAUAAGAACAUUGUUUUACCACCACUUGAUUCCACAACUUUCUUAUUACGACGGUGCAACACGUAUACAACGUACAACGUACAACACACCUAGUCACCACACCUCGCAGGUAGAAACCACAAUAGGAAUAUAGUAAUGUCACACUUCAUAUAUACCUCAUGAGUGCAAAUGUCUGCAAAUGCAAGGAUGACUUCUGCCUUCAUACCUCUAAGGAUAUGAAGCCGCAUCGUACCCCUCCUCGGGCAACGUACGAUGCUAAAAAUGUACCGGUACGGUCGGACCAUGUUGGGGGCCUUCGGCUUACGAAGGUCCUCAAAAACAGGAUUUAACAGUAUUUCUGGAGUAUAAUGUGUGAACAGGUAUCUUCGGACUCAAGUCGGAAUCGCAGCGGAUCAGAAUAAUACGAAGGUUGAUACAGCGCCGAAGGUGUAAGCAGGAAAGCUUCGGCAUGGUGGCAAAGAAAAAAUGAAACCGACUUAAAGAUGAAAAGGCUAUUCAGACCUCGAUAGAUUACUAUAGAAUUAUUAUCAAAUGUAAAGGGCAUAAAUGUAAUUUUGUAUAGGCUGUGUGCUAUGCCUAUAAAUAGGUGAACAAUACCCUUGUACUGUUCACGCUGAUUAGGCAUUCGCUUUUGCGUCACGCUUGUACUUUCAUCUCCUUCAAGUUGAAGGUACAUUUGUAAUCCAACGUUAUUUCUGUUUAUACAUAAUAAUAAUAUAUAAUUGUCUAUGUUGUCCUUUAUAUUCCUUACGAUUCAACCUUCGUUAUUGUAUGAUGUAUUUAUGAAGGUACGCCCUUCAUAACCUUCAUCCGAAAACCAUUAUAUCCUGAGGGAAAUAAUGCUUCGAAGGACGAAGGAUUAACAUUUUCUAUGUUGCCUUGUUCUUAACUCAUAGCAUUUGAGAGCAAGUCACCAACAUUGGCGCCCACCUCCGGUGAACUCACUUCCACUCUUUGAGUUUUUUGAACACCUUCGGCGAUCAUAAACCUUCGCUAUGGCGCCGAAGAAAGCUUCAGCGACUGGGACUGCAGCUCUGCAACCGCUGGACCACAAUCAGGAGACAGUCUCCCUUCGGGAAGCACGAAGCCAGAAAAGGAAGGCUGUCAGCCCGACACCACCCGAGGACGAGAUAGAUCAAGAAAUCAGAGACAUGGAGAUGCUUCAUCAACAGGUGCAGAGGAAGAAAGAAAAGAUGGCCAGGCUAGCUGAACUGCAAAGGCAGAUAGACGAAGCCUCUGAAGAAGUUCGUCAUCUUGCUCAGAAUGAGCAGCACCGAAGGCCUCAGCACCAAGACCUUCAUCAGGAGGGUUUCCUCAACGAAGAUGACUGGUAUGAUAAUUUCCAUCAUGGGAAUUUUGUUUUCGAUGAUGCUUCUCCUCUGUCCGCUGAGUUGCAGGCUACACCUUGGCCUCCAUCCUACAAGCCGCCUCAGCUUCCCGUAUUCGAUGGCCACUCAGACCCGAAGCAGUUUUUGAUGAGCUACGAAGCAACAGUAUCUUCGUAUGGUGGCAAUGCUGCAGUCAUGGCCAAAAUGCAAGAUGUGAGAUGGAUGAUGCGAUGUGCAUGUCAUGCCUACAACACUUCAUAUAACGUGAUUCAAAAAAGAUACUUCAACUUCAUCCAAGAUGGGAAUCAACCACAUAUAUCAUAAUCAAAUUAUGAUCAUCCACAAUAUUAGACAAUUGAGAAUUAAUACUUCCAAACAAAUAAACUUCAUCAUAGAAUUCAAUGAUUAACAUAAUUAAAACUUAUGCAUACUCAAUGACAGGGAAUAGGAUGCAAACCAAACGGUAGCAACCACCACUAUAUUUACUUGCCUUUACCGGAAGUUCGGACAAAUCCCUAAGUACGAUCCGGAAGUCCACCACCUGUUUUUUGACACACAACUUAGUGCACCAAUUUCACAUAAUCAGGCUCAUAAACGACGCCGCACCUACGCACAAACUCAAACCCCGCCGCGGGUUACAUCUCUCCCCACACCCACCAAACUGCAGCGGCGCUGCUUAAUAAUUUCAUAACAUUAAAAUUAUGACAUCAGUGGUAACAAACAAAAACUCCAGAGUCGUCUACCUAAAAUUCCCCACAAGUUUUGUAUACCAUUUAUAAUUAAAUUCCAACAUCUAAUUAGCCCAAAACAGUCCACAAGAUGAACCCUGUAAUCUGUUUUUUUUUUGUCUUUUGGACAGCGACAUACCCGGAUUCAAACAGCGAUAUCUUUUAAAAUAUAAUUCCAAAUCAAGCGCAUAAGUACUCAUUGGAAAGAUAAGACAAAUCCCUACAUGAUUAUAAUACUGGUUAACACUAAUUACCCGCGAAAAAUUCCCAGAAACUGCUAAUACUACUGCUGUUCACCCACCUGAAAAAUCUGUUUUUUUGGACAGCAACAUAACCGGAUUCAAACAACGAUAUCUCCUAAAUUAUAACUCCGAAUCGAGCGCAUAAGUACUCGUUGGAAAGGUAUGACAAAGCUCUACAUGAUUCUCCCACUGAUCCCCACUAAUUUCCCACGAAAAAUUCCCAGAAAUCCCUAGAACUACUGCUGUUCGCCCUCGCACAAAAAUUCUGGACAACACCUCUACCGAUUCGCAUAGAUAAACAUAUAAUCAAUUGAAUUUUAGCGCAAAAACAUAGAUAACUUCAAGAUCACCUUGAGUUCCACCUUUUUCCUCCUUCCUUCCUCCCACCAAUUCUCCAAUUGAAACUUGCACCCACACGAAGAAGAUCCGACGAGGAAGAACGACACUUGGAGAAGAGGAGAUGGGGGGUGGCGGCUAGGGUUGAGGAGAUGGCUGCUGCAAAAAAACUUGAGAAUGGAGAGGGGGCGGCUGCAGCACUUGGGGAAGAGAGAAGAGGGAAGAGGGGGGAGGGUGAC
rnacentral:lncRNA from 1 species